UACGUAGGGGGCAAGCGUUAUCCGGAGUUAUUGGGCGUAAAGCGUGCGUAGGUGGUUUCUUAAGCGCGGGGUUUAAGGCUAGGGCUUAACCGUAGUUCGCCCCGUGAACUGGGAGACUUGAGUACAGGAGGGGAAAGCGGAAUUCCUAGUGUAGCGGUGAAAUGCGUAGAUAUUAGGAAGAACACCGGUGGCGAAGGCGGCUUUCUGGACUGCAACUGACACUGAGGCACGAAAGCGUGGGGAGCAAACA
rnacentral:rRNA from 1 species